rnacentral:rRNA from 1 species
UAGCAAUACUUAGUGGCAGACGGGUGAGUAACAUGUAGGUAUCUGCCCUUUGGCCUGGAAUAACACGAGGAAACUUGUGCUAAUACCGGAUAAGUCUUUACGGAGAAAGCUUUAUGCACCAUUGGAUGAGCCUGCACUUGAUUAGUUUGUUGGUGGGGUAAUGGCCUACCAAGACUGUGAUCAAUAGCUGAUUUGAGAGGAUGAUCAGCCACAUUGGGACUGAGACACGGCCCAAACUCCUACGGGAGGCAGCAGUGGGGAAUCUUGCACAAUGGAGGAAACUCUGAUGCAGCGAUGCCGCGUGAGUGAAGAAGGCCUUUGGGUUGUAAAGCUCUUUCGUCGGGGAAGAAAAUGACUGUACCCGAAUAAGAAGGUCCGG